rnacentral:rRNA from 1 species
GACGAACGCUGGCGGCGUGCCUAAUACAUGCAAGUAGAACGCACAGUUUAUACCGUAGCUUGCUACACCAUAGACUGUGAGUUGCGAACGGGUGAGUAACGCGUAGGUAACCUGCCUGGUAGCGGGGGAUAACUAUUGGAAACGAUAGCUAAUACCGCAUAAUAUUGAUUAUUGCAUGAUAAUUGAUUGAAAGAUGCUAUUGCAUCACUACCAGAUGGACCUGCGUUGUAUUAGCUAGUAGGUGAGGUAACGGCUCACCUAGGCGACGAUACAUAGCCGACCUGAGAGGGUGAUCGGCCACACUGGGACUGAGACACGGCCCAGACUCCUACGGGAGGCAGCAGUAGGGAAUCUUCGGCAAUGGACGAAAGUCUGACCGAGCAACGCCGCGUGAGUGAAGAAGGUUUUCGGAUCGUGAAGCUCUGUUGUAAGAGAAGAACGGGUGUGAGAGUGGAAAGUUCACACUGUGACGGUAUCUUACCAGAAAGGGACGGCUAACUACGU